AUUGCAGUAGGACAGACUGUGAAAAACAGGAAAGCUUAGAAACCGCAAUAAGGCAGACUGUGAAAAAUAGGAAAGCUUGCUAAGCUAUAUUCCUUUUAUGGAGAGUGUAUUCCAAAUAUGGCAAUAAUGCUGAUAAGACAGUAUGUAUCAUGUAAUUGUGGUUUUAUGCUAUAUAAGCUGUGCAAGAUUCUGUAAUCAGGGGGAUUGCUAGUUUACUGGUACCCCCCAUGCAUGCAUGAAAAUAAAAAGGCCUCAGGCGAUUCUGAUUCAAACACAACGCGUGGUCAUUUUUCCACAACAAUCUUGGUGCCGUGACUCGGAUCCACAGACUGUCCACCGGACCAGGAGACCGCGGACCAUUCCCCUCCGAACCCAGCCGGCACUUGAUAGGUGAGAGACCUUUUAAAUCUCUAUUUGGGUUAUCGGUGGAGGACUGUCCGUAGGCCCUGGGUCGGGUGAGUAGCAAGCUGGAUACGGACCUUUUGCUGCCAGACUCGCCUGACAACCUUUUGGUUUCCCGGGAGGAGCCACGGGUAAGUGGCGGGGAGUCGGGGUUCCCACAAGGAUAGGCCUUGGUUUUAGGCCUUACCUCAGCGUUUGUGUGCAAGUGUGAAUGACUGAAAACGAAUGAGGGUCGUAGGAAGACGCCCAGAGCUUUCUGCGAGGCCUUGAGGCUUACGACCAGGAAUGUCUCUAAAGCAAGCCCUAUGACCCGUGUGAGUGGCCUGAUAUUGUUCAGGGAAAAAGGGAUUAUAGGUUUAGGAAGACGCUAUCGGAAACCUAGGGAUUGAGAGAUUGGAUCUCACAGUCGGUAACCUCGGGAUAGCUGACCAAAACCCUACAAUCAGGUAGACUCCAGGAAUGUAAAUGUAAUUGGUAUACCAGAGAUGAUAAAAAUUUGUAAUUUCCAUUAGAAGAAAGCUUUGACCUUGACAGGAUUGUGCACCUCAGAGGCGCACUUCUUGCCAACAAAGUCGGACAAGAUCAGUUUGAUGUAUAUUUUUAUUGGUGUAAGGAAACAGUAAAACGGCACCAUAAAUCUCAAGUAGGGAGUCCCAAGGACUCCCAAGAAAAGCUUAAAAAAAAAAAGAUAAAAAGGAAAUUGACUCUUUUCCGUAACCCCGCUGGCCAGCAGAUAUCGCUCUAUUCAUCUAGACCCCUUCAGGAGGCAAAGCCCCUUUGGAGUAUCCCCUCCACACCUCCUGACGAUCUUAUAGACCUGUUAUUGUCAAUUUUUCUUUUAGUCCUUGUUUAUCGGUUAACCUUUUGGGAAAAGACUUGCUGUGUAAAUUAAAUUGUAUAAUCUGCUGUACCCCAGAUGGUGUGUAUCUGGACGUGCCUGGUCCCGCUCACAAUGAAGUCCUGGCAGUUUAUGGGAGAAAACUGACCCCAGCCCUUCCUCGUUGCAACAGGAACUGCUGGUUAAGGUCUCUCCCUCCCUGUGGGCUUUGUGAGCCGAUCAUGCCAACCAGGUUGGGUGCAUUGGGUCUGCCCAAGCCGUUAAGAUUGGCCUAAACCCAACAAGAACCCUUCCCAAGGUGCAGCAGUACCCUAUAUCAAAACAGGCCAAGGAAGAAUCCAAUCUGUUGUUACCUCCUUGAUUUAACAAAAAGUCAUUAUUCCUAUGGUCAGUAAGUGUAACUCCCCCGUUUUAUCAUGCUGUUCAUGCUAUUGUUCUUUUUUCCUCUCCCUUGUCCCUAGCCCUGUUAUUAUUCUUUUUUAUAAUGCACCAGUGCUGAGGGGUUAUUAUCGCCUCAAGAAAAGAUUGUAUUAAGUCCAGACAUAAAGAAUUAAAGUUGUUAUUAAGUAAGAUGCAUCUAGAUGUAAUGUGUGUAUAUAAAU